rnacentral:rRNA from 1 species
AGACGGGUGAGGAACGCGUACACAACUUCCCUCAAACUGGGGCACAACCUUGAGAAAUCAGGGCUAAUUCCCCAUAACAUUGCGAAAAGGCAUCUGAUUGCAAUUAAAGAUUCAUCGGUUUGAGAUGGGUGUGCGCCUGAUUAGCUAGUUGGUAAGGUAACGGCUUACCAAGGCAACGAUCAGUAGCUGGUGUGAGAGCACGACCAGCCACACGGGCACUGAGAUACGGGCCCGACUCCUACGGGAGGCAGCAGUAAGGAAUAUUGGUCAAUGGACGCAAGUCUGAACCAGCCAUGCCGCGUGAGGGAUGAAGGUCCUCUGGAUUGUAAACCUCUUUUAUCUAUGAAGAAAUGCCCGAUUUCUAUUGGGCUUGACGGUAAUAGAUGAAUAAGCACCGGCUAACUCCGUGCCAGCAGCCGCGGUAAUACGGAGGGUGCAAGCGUUAUCCGGAUUUACUGGGUUUAAAGGGUGCGUAGGUGGAUUGGUGAGUCAGUGGUGAAAUACUUUCGCUUAACGAAGGAACUGCCAUUGAUACUACCAGUCUUGAAUACAGUGGAGGUGGGCGGAAUGCGUCAUGUAGCGGUGAAAUGCUUAGAUAUGACGC